rnacentral:rRNA from 1 species
AGAGUUUGAUCAUGGCUCAGAACGUACGCUGGCGGCACGCCUAACACAUGCAAGUCGAACGAAGUAGCAAUACUUAGUGGCAGACGGGUGAGUAACAUGUGGGUAUCUGCCCUUUGGCCUGGAAUAACACGAGGAAACUUGUGCUAAUACCGGAUAAGUCUUUACGGAGAAAGCUUUAUGCACCAUUGGAUGAGCCCGCACUUGAUUAGUUUGUUGGUGGGGUAAUGGCCUACCAAGACUGUGAUCAAUAGCUGAUUUGAGAGGAUGAUCAGCCACAUUGGGACUGAGACACGGCCCAAACUCCUACGGGAGGCAGCAGUGGGGAAUCUUGCACAAUGGAGGAAACUCUGAUGCAGCGAUGCCGCGUGAGUGAAGAAGGCCCUUGGGUUGUAAAGCUCUUUCGUCGGGGAAGAAAAUGACUGUACCCGAAUAAGAAGGUCCGGCUAACUUCGUGCCAGCAGCCGCGGUAAUACGAAGGGACCUAGCGUAGUUCGGAAUUACUGGGCUUAAAGAGUUCGUAGGUGGUUGAAAAAGUUAGUGGUGAAAUCCCAGAGCUUAACUCUGGAACUGCCAUUAAAACUUUUCAGCUAGAGUAUGAUAGAGGAAAGCAGAAUUUCUAGUGUAGAGGUGAAAUUCGUAGAUAUUAGAAAGAAUACCAAUUGCGAAGGCAGCUUUCUGGAUCAUUACUGACACUGAGGAACGAAAGCAUGGGUAGCGAAGAGGAUUAGAUACCCUCGUAGUCCAUGCCGUAAACGAUGUGUGUUAGACGUUGGAAAUUUAUUUUCAGUGUCGCAGCGAAAGCGAUAAACACACCGCCUGGGGAGUACGACCGCAAGGUUAAAACUCAAAUGAAUUGACGGGGACCCGCACAAGUAGUGGAGCAUGUGGUUUAAUUCGAAGAUACGCGCAGAACCUUACCAACACUUGACAUGUUCGUCGCGACUCUAAGAGAUUAGAGUUUUCGGUUCGGCCGGACGAAACACAGGUGCUGCAUGGCUGUCGUCAGCUCGUGUCGUGAGAUGUUGGGUUAAGUCCCGCAACGAGCGCAACCCUCACUUUUAGUUGCCAUCAUUAAGUUGGGCACUCUGAAAGAACUGCCAGUGAUAAGCUGGAGGAAGGUGGGGAUGACGUCAAGUCCUCAUGGCCCUUACGUGUUGGGCUACACACGUGCUACAAUGGUAUCUACAACAGGAAGCAAGACUGCGAGGUCAAGCAAAUCCUUAAAAGAUACCUCAGUUCGGAUUGCACUCUGCAACUCGAGUGCAUGAAGCUGGAAUUACUAGUAAUCGUGGAUCAGCGUGCCACGGUGAAUGCGUUCCCGGGUCUUGUACACACCGCCCGUCACACCAUGGGAGUUGGUUCUACCUUAAGGCAAGGUUUCAAACCCUUGACCACGGUAUAGUCAGCGACUGGGGUGAAGUCGUAACAAGGUAGCCGUA